rnacentral:rRNA from 1 species
GACGAACGCUGGCGGCGUGCUUAACACAUGCAAGUCGAACGGAAAGGCCCUGCUUUUGUGGGGUGCUCGAGUGGCGAACGGGUGAGUAACACGUGAGUAACCUGCCCUUGACUUUGGGAUAACUUCAGGAAACUGGGGCUAAUACCGGAUAGGAGCUCCUGCUGAGUGGUGGGGGUUGGAAAGUUUCGGCGGUUGGGGAUGGACUCGCGGCUUAGCAGCUUGUGGGUGGGGUAGUGGCUUACCAAGGCUUUGACGGGUAGCCGGCCUGAGAGGGUGACCGGCGACAUUGGGACUGAGAUACGGCCCAGACUCCUACGGGAGGCAGCAGUGGGGAAUAUUGCACAAUGGGCGGAAGCCUGAUGCAGCAACGCCGCGUGCGGGAUGACGGCCUUCGGGUUGUAAACCUCUUUCGCCUGUGACGAAGCGUGAGUGACGGUAAUGGGUAAAGAAGCACCGGCUAACUACGUG